rnacentral:rRNA from 1 species
CCUACGGGGGGCAGCAGUGGGGAAUAUUGGACAAUGGGCGAAAGCCUGAUCCAGCCAUGCCGCGUGUGUGAAGAAGGCCUUCGGGUUGUAAAGCACUUUCAGUGGGGAAGAAAGCCUUGGGGCUAAUACCCUCGAGGAAGGACAUCACCCACAGAAGAAGCACCGGCUAACUCCGUGCCAGCAGCCGCGGUAAUACGGAGGGUGCGAGCGUUAAUCGGAAUUACUGGGCGUAAAGCGCGCGUAGGCGGUCUGAUAAGCCGGUUGUGAAAGCCCCGGGCUCAACCUGGGAACGGCAUCCGGAACUGUCAGGCUAGAGUGCAGGAGAGGAAGGUAGAAUUCCCGGUGUAGCGGUGAAAUGCGUAGAGAUCGGGAGGAAUACCAGUGGCGAAGGCGGCCUUCUGGACUGUCACUGACGCUGAGGUGCGAAAGCGUGGGUAGCAAACAGGAUUAGAUACCCUAGUAGUC